rnacentral:rRNA from 1 species
GCUGGCGGCAGGCCUAACACAUGCAAGUCGAACGGUAACAGGAAGCAGCUUGCUGCUUUGCUGACGAGUGGCGGACGGGUGAGUAAUGUCUGGGAAACUGCCUGAUGGAGGGGGAUAACUACUGGAAACGGUGGCUAAUACCGCAUAACGUCGCAAGACCAAAGAGGGGGACCUUCGGGCCUCUUGCCAUCAGAUGUGCCCAGAUGGGAUUAGCUUGUUGGUGAGGUAACGGCUCACCAAGGCGACGAUCCCUAGCUGGUCUGAGAGGAUGACCAGCCACACUGGAACUGAGACACGGUCCAGACUCCUACGGGAGGCAGCAGUGGGGAAUAUUGCACAAUGGGCGCAAGCCUGAUGCAGCCAUGCCGCGUGUAUGAAGAAGGCCUUC